UUGAACGCUGGCGGCAGGCCUAACACAUGCAAGUCGAGCGGUAGCACAGAGAGCUUGCUCUCGGGUGACGAGCGGCGGACGGGUGAGUAAUGUCUGGGAAACUGCCUGAUGGAGGGGGAUAACUACUGGAAACGGUAGCUAAUACCGCAUAACGUCGCAAGACCAAAGUGGGGGACCUUCGGGCCUCAUGCCAUCAGAUGUGCCCAGAUGGGAUUAGCUAGUAGGUGGGGUAACGGCUCACCUAGGCGACGAUCCCUAGCUGGUCUGAGAGGAUGACCAGCCACACUGGAACUGAGACACGGUCCAGACUCCUACGGGAGGCAGCAGUGGGGAAUAUUGCACAAUGGGCGCAAGCCUGAUGCAGCCAUGCCGCGUGUGUGAAGAAGGCCUUCGGGUUGUAAAGCACUUUCAGCGGGGAGGAAGGCGAUAAGGUUAAUAACCUUGUCGAUUGACGUUACCCGCAGAAGAAGCACCGGCUAACUCCGUGCCAGCAGCCGCGGUAAUACGGAGGGUGCAAGCGUUAAUCGGAAUUACUGGGCGUAAAGCGCACGCAGGCGGUCUGUCAAGUCGGAUGUGAAAUCCCCGGGCUUAACCUGGGAACUGCAUUCGAAACUGGCAGGCUAGAGUCUUGUAGAGGGGGGUAGAAUUCCAGGUGUAGCGGUGAAAUGCGUAGAGAUCUGGAGGAAUACCGGUGGCGAAGGCGGCCCCCUGGACAAAGACUGACGCUCAGGUGCGAAAGCGUGGGGAGCAAACAGGAUUAGAUACCCUGGUAGUCCACGCCGUAAACGAUGUCGAUUUGGAGGUUGUGCCCUUGAGGCGUGGCUUCCGGAGCUAACGCGUUAAGUCGACCGCCUGGGGAGUACGGCCGCAAGGUUAAAACUCAAAUGAAUUGACGGGGGCCCGCACAAGCGGUGGAGCAUGUGGUUUAAUUCGAUGCAACGCGAAGAACCUUACCUGGUCUUGACAUCCACAGAACUUUCCAGAGAUGGAUUGGUGCCUUCGGGAACUGUGAGACAGGUGCUGCAUGGCUGUCGUCAGCUCGUGUUGUGAAAUGUUGGGUUAAGUCCCGCAACGAGCGCAACCCUUAUCCUUUGUUGCCAGCGGUUCGGCCGGGAACUCAAAGGAGACUGCCAGUGAUAAACUGGAGGAAGGUGGGGAUGACGUCAAGUCAUCAUGGCCCUUACGACCAGGGCUACACACGUGCUACAAUGGCAUAUACAAAGAGAAGCGACCUCGCGAGAGCAAGCGGACCUCAUAAAGUAUGUCGUAGUCCGGAUUGGAGUCUGCAACUCGACUCCAUGAAGUCGGAAUCGCUAGUAAUCGUAGAUCAGAAUGCUACGGUGAAUACGUUCCCGGGCCUUGUACACACCGCCCGUCACACCAUGGGAGUGGGUUGCAAAAGAAGUAGGUAGCUUAACCUUCGGGAGGGCGCUUACCACUUUGUGAUUCAUGACUGGGGUG
rnacentral:rRNA from 1 species